UACAGAGGGUGCGAGCGUUAAUCGGAAUUACUGGGCGUAAAGCGUGCGUAGACGGUUAUUUAAGUCGGGUGUGAAAUCCCCGGGCUUAACCUGGGAACUGCGCUUGUAACUGGCAAGCUGGAGUGUGGCAGAGGGGGGUGGAAUUCCACGUGUAGCAGUGAAAUGCGUAGAGAUGUGGAGGAACACCGAUGGCGAAGGCAGCCCCCUGGGCUAACACUGACGCUCAUGCACGAAAGCGUGGGGAGCAAACAGG
rnacentral:rRNA from 1 species